rnacentral:rRNA from 1 species
UCAGAGUACGUGAAACNGUUCAGGGGUAAACCUGAGAAACCCAAAAGAUCGAAUGGGGAGAUUCAGCGUCAGUGGCGUUGGCUUGUGAGCGAUUCGUGAUGUAGCGUGAUUUAUUACGUUAUACACUGUUGUUUUCAUGUCCGACGUUAUCGGCGUGCACUUUUCCUCUAGUAGGACGUCGCGACCCGUUGGAUGUCGACCUACGGUUCGUUUGGUUGACUGUUGUGCUUUUGCGCGACAGACCUUCGAUUACCCGGUCGGCUGUCCAGCGGUAUUGAAUUUAUCGAUUGGUAUAGAGUCGCAUUUUAAUGCGUUCGACUCGUUGACAGGCUGGUCUCGCUCGAAAUUACGGACCUAGCGCCGUUUUUGGGUGCUUGACUGGCUGUUGGUUAACGAUGUUCUCGAACC